rnacentral:pre_miRNA from 1 species
ACAAGAAUCGGACUGUCGGUCUACCGAGCAAAUAUCACCCGGCCGGUGGAAGAUCUUCCUUUUGUCGU